UCACAUCGCGAACUUACCGUACCGUUGCUUCGGCGAGGGGCUCCGGGGAGGAGCCGCGGCCCUAACGGGCGCUCGCCGUAAGCCCAACAACUCUGAAUUCUUGGUAUCUCUGAGUAUAACAUACAAAUAAGUUAAAACUUUCAACAACGGAUCUCUUGGUUCUGGCAUCGAUGAAGAACGCAGCGAAAUGCGAUAAGUAAUGUGAAUUGCAGAAUUCAGUGAAUCAUCGAAUCUUUGAACGCACAUUGCGCCCGCCAGUAUUCUGGCGGGCAUGCCUGUUCGAGCGUCAUUUCAACCAUCAGGCCCUCGGGCCCGUGUUGGGGCGCUGCGCGCUAGCCGCGCAGGCCCUCAAAACCAGUGGCGGGCUCGCUGUCGCACCGAGCGUAGUAACAUAUCUCGCUUUGGACGCGCGGCGGGCGCUUGCCGUAAAACACCCCCCUUCUCAAGG
rnacentral:misc_RNA from 1 species